GGCCUUUGUUCAGUGGUAGAGUAUCUGCUUUGCAUGCAGAAGUUCCCAGGUUCAAACCUUGGCAUUGCCA